UGGGGAAUUUUGGACAAUGGGCGCAAGCCUGAUCCAGCCAUGCCGCGUGUCUGAAGAAGGCCUUCGGGUUGUAAAGGACUUUUGUCAGGGAAGAAAAGGCUGUUGCUAAUAUCGACAGCUGAUGACGGUACCUGAANAAUAANCACCGGCUAACUACGUGCCAGCAGCCGCGGUAAUACGUAGGGUGCGAGCGUUAAUCGGAAUUACUGGGCGUAAAGCGAGCGCAGACGGUUACUUAAGCAGGAUGUGAAAUCCCCGGGCUCAACCUGGGAACUGCGUUCUGAACUGGGUGACUAGAGUGUGUCAGAAGGAGGUAGAAUUCCACGUGUAGCAAUGAAAUGCGUAAAGAUGUGGAGGAAUACCGAUGGCGAAGGCAGCCUCCUGGGGAUAACACUGACGUUCAUGCUCCAAAGCGUGGGUAGCCAAAAAGGAUUAAAUACCCCUGGUAGUCCACGGCCCUAAACGAUGUCNAUUAACUGUUGGGCAACUUGAUUGCUUAAUANCGUAGCUAACGCGUGAAAUUGACCGCCUGGGGAGUACGGUCGCAAGAUUA
rnacentral:rRNA from 1 species